CACGUAUUUAGCCGGAGCUUCUUAGUCAGGUACCGUCAUUUUCUUCCCUGCUGAUAGAGCUUUACAUACCGAAAUACUUCUUCGCUCACGCGGCGUCGCUGCAUCAGGCUUGCGCCCAUUGUGCAAUAUCCCCCACUGCUGCCUCCCGUAGGAGUUUGGGCCGUGUCUCAGUCCCAAUGUGGCCGUCCACCCUCUCAGGCCGGCUACUGAUCGUCGGCUUGGUGGGCCGUUACCCCGCCAACUACCUAAUCAGACGCGGGCCCAUCUUACACCACCGGAGUUUUCCGCACCAGACCAUGCGGCCCUGUGCGCAUAUGCGGUAUUAGCAGCCGUUUCCAGCUGUUGUCCCCCUGUGUAAGGCAGGUUGCCCACGCGUUACUCACCCGUCCGCCACUCAGUCACUGCAUCUUUCCUUCCGAAGAAUUCCGGUUGCAGUGCUUCGUUCGACUUGCAUGUGUUAGGCACGCCGCCAGCGUUCAUCCUGAGCCAGGA
rnacentral:rRNA from 1 species